rnacentral:rRNA from 1 species
GACGAACCGAGCGAACGUUGUUCGGAAUCACUGGGCUUAAAGGGCGCGUAGGCGGGCGGUCAAGUCAGGGGUGAAAUCCUCCAGCUCAACUGGAGAAGUGCCUCUGAUACCGGCGGUCUCGAGGGAGGUAGGGGCGUGCGGAACUUCCGGUGGAGCGGUGAAAUGCGUAGAUAUCGGAAGGAACACCGGUGGCGAAAGCGGCGCGCUGGACCUCUUCUGACGCUGAGGCGCGAAAGCCAGGGGAGCGAACGG